GCACUGUCUCCAUAAGCUUAUUUCAUUUUAUCAAAAGGUGUAGUGGAAGAUAUGAGUACCAGACCUUAAGCAGAUUAAAGCACAGUUGUUAAGUCCAUAUGCAGGCGAGAUCUAGCUGCAAUUGAUGUCCCCUUCCAGGCAAUUUUCUUCCUGGGGACCACCACUCUGAAAACUAGAACUCCAAACCUCAAUUUCUCCAGGGAUGCAUUUUUCUUUGCCCACAGGGAAAAAGCAUCACUGUGUAUCACUGAACUUGGCGAAGGAGGUAAACAACGUACACAUGAAUUCUUUGAAAUAAAUGAAAGAAUCUUACAAAAUACAGUAUAUAACCAUCUCAAAAUACCCAUGAGCGAUACAAUAUUAACUGUGACUCUAGGGACCCGGAUAGUUGAGAUUUCUAUGAAAUGGUAAAAGAUGCCUUCUAGCUUUGUGAAACAAUGAUUUAGGUUUUCCUUUUGGGUAUUGAAGAUGCAAGCAAAUUUUCUGUUAAGUGGC
rnacentral:lncRNA from 1 species